rnacentral:rRNA from 1 species
CCCAAGAGAUCGGGAUAACACCUAGGAAACAGAUGCUAAUACCGGAUAACAACAGAUGAUGCCUAUCAACUGUUUAAAAGAUGGUUCUGCUAUCACUCUUGGAUGGACCUGCGGUGCAUUAGCUAGUUGGUAGGGUAACGGCCUACCAAGGCGAUGAUGCAUAGCCGAGUUGAGAGACUGAUCGGCCACAUUGGGACUGAGACACGGCCCAAACUCCUACGGGAGGCAGCAGCU